GGGGGCGACAGGUUUCGACGGCUAAGCAGGGGUUCGGGUGGCAUGCCGAGAACGCCAGAGGGCUCGUUAAAAUGCUGGCAAGCCAAGUAACUGGCUCGUCCAAUUACGCUCUGGCGGCUUAGAUUUAGCUGCCAUGCCGCUGUAGGUCUCCGCCCAUCGGGCUUAUAGACGGCACCGUUUAGACGGGCUGGUCCGGUCCCUCGCCCCAGGGGGCCGGACGAGAUUCAUGGGGUUGCUCCGGGGAGGAUCCUGUCCAUGGGAGCCCUCCCGGAUAAGACAAACCACGGACUAAGCAUGUAGAGGCCUGGGCUGCUCCUUUUCCGGACGCGGGUUCAAAUCCCGCCGCCUCCACCA
rnacentral:tmRNA from 1 species